AUUCACCUUAUUGAAGUCAACAGUUUGAUGCAAGUUCAGCUUCUGCAAAGAAACACCAUUAUUCAAAAGCUGUAGUUUCUUCCAAGUGACUUAGACAUUCUCCCCUGUAACGUCUACAUUGAUACCACCUCUGAACUGUUUUGUGUUUUUCAGAGGAAAAGCUUUGUGAGCUGAAGUUUCAGUUAUUUCCCCUAAAGAUCACAUUAUAGAACUCCAUCUAUUCACCACGAGCUUGGAUAAUGCUUCUUGAUAGAGAAGAGUCUGCAAAUGUAACACUUACUUAAUCCUCUUCAGCUGUGCCUGAGGCACUCUCCCAAGCUCGAAGACUUACCAUUUGUGUUCUUGGAAAGCAAGUAGGUGACAGAGGAUAGUUGAAGCCAGAAGUUCUUCAUUCUUUGAAGAGGCUUGACACUGGGGACACUAACCUCAGUAAUCCUGCUGUCUGGUUAAGAGACCAAGCUGAUUUUACAUGAUACUGCCUUUUGGAAGAAAACAGAGAAGCUUAUUCCUCAUUUAAGGGUCCAAGCCCUGAAACUUAAAGGGAAAGAAGCGUGCAUGGUCAUAAGGAUGUGUCUUCUGACUAGAGAUUCCCUCAGCUCCUUUUGCUUUGGACCCUGUUUGAGUUAUCAGUACUUCCUUGUUCACAGUGUAAGAUGA
rnacentral:lncRNA from 1 species